ensembl:lncRNA
ACGAAAAUGAGGAGUGCAUGCGUGAGUUAAUAAAUUAUUAUAAUUAUAUUUACAAAAAUUAUUAUGAAAAUGUCGUAAAUUUUUUUGAAGAUAACCCUAAUGAAAAAAUAUAUGCAAAUGAGAACUAUGUUUUAAAAUUGGACUUAUUAAAUAAAAGACAUAUAGAAGCAUUAUAUAAUAUUAGUAUAUUUUGUAUUUCAGAUAAGCUUAAAUAUUAUAUGUUACGAGGUGAUACAAACAAGAAUAAAGAGUUAAAUGGAGAUGAUCUAUUAGUAGGAGUAGAUCAAGAAGGAAAUAUUGAAAACAGAGGACUUAAAAAAAAUAUGUUUACAAAUGGUGGUAUUAGUAAUAAACAUAACAUAAAUUUGCAUGAUUUUGCAAAUAAAACUAAUUUUUUAGAAAAGAAUUCCCAAAUAUAUACUAAUGAUGAUAUAUUGACAAAUGGAAUAAAAAGAGAGGAGGAAUUUGAUAUAAUAAAAUAUAUAUUUUAUGUUAUGAGAUCAGUUGAACUUUCAUUAAAUUCAGACAAUCGUAAAUUAUCAUCUAUUUAUGUUUGUAUAAAAACUUAUUUUCUUCGAGAUGGUGUUAAUGAGAGUUAUUAUAAUAACAUUUAUUUAUUCACUUUAUGUUUACAUUAUUUGGAAUAUUUAACUAGUAACAUAGUUAUAUUUGACAUAAGAGAUACAGGAUAUGAGCAGUUAAAUUUAGCAACUGAAAAAGCUAAUAAUAAUACUACUAACAAUAUUACCAAUUCUAAUAUAUCCAAAAUAAAUAAUUUACAAAAUAAUAUAAAAAGAAAAUAUUCUUCUAGUUCAAAUUUUAGAAAUAAAUCUGUAUCAAAUGAUGGUAUAAGUACAGAUUUUGUUCAGAAUAAUGAAAUCGGCCAUAACAACAGUAAUAAUAGUAAUAAUAAAAAUAAUACGAACCAUUUUAGAAGCACAUCACUAAGAGACCAUAACUCUUUCAGAAUUUAUGCUAAUCAUAUCCAUUUUUAUAAAUUAUUUUUUUAUAUUUUAAAUUUUUUAAAUUAUUAUCUGGAAGAUAUGGUAAAAGAUAGCUCAUUGUUAUAUUCUGAUAUGAUGAAAGUGCAUGCUGAAAAUAAUGCACAUAAAAAUAAAAAAGAACCUAUGUUAGUAGCAUCUUCUAAUGCGUUACUAGGUGGUGGUGCCUCGAAUAGCAAUCAUAACCAUAGCAAUAGUAGUGCAUCAAAUUUUACAGAUGGUAAGAACGAUAUUUUUUUUUUAGGAAAAAAUAAAAUUUCCUAUAGUAACAUUUUAUUAAAAUGCACAAAUAUAAUUAAUAAUUUAAUGAAUUUAGAUGUUAUUCGAGAAAAGAUUAUGAACUCAAGCAAUGAUUUAAAUGAACUAAAAAUAUUUUUAUCGAAAUAUUAUAAAUAUUUAAAUGAAUACGAAGAUAUUGAAAUAUAUAAAAAUUUUUAUAUCAGUUUCUAUAAAACUUACAUUUUUAUAUUUCCCGAAGAAUUAGAAAAAGAAAAUUACUUUUCGCCUAUGUUACUUUUUGAAAAUAUAGUGAAUAAUGGUAAUAUAUUAAGAAUGAGAACUAUUGCAGAUACACUUAUAUUUUGUUUUAAUGAUAAAAAAUUUGUUUACUUUUUUGAAGAAAAUAUUAAUAUAACAAAAGUACUCUACAUAUUUGUUACUUAUGCUUCCAGAUUAUUAUCUCAUAAAUACUAUGAACUAAUAAUAAGUAUAUCGUUUCUUUUUUAUAUUAUUUUAAUUAAGUUUCCAAAUGUUUCUAUAACUAUAUUUCACAUCUUAAAUGAAAAUAAUGAUUAUAUAAUGAAAUAUAAUGAAGAUAAAAAAUUCAACUCCAUUUUUAAUAACAUAAACGAACAUAUAAAUAUGUUAUUUUUAUCAACUAUUAAUAAAAAUAAAAACUUAGCAACUAUCAAUUCUCUUAUUUUUUCCAAGUUGAUACAUUUAUAUUGUCAAUUCUGUGCUAAAAAAAAUAACUUAGAAACGAUUCAAAAUAAUACGCAUAAUAAUACUAAUUACACUGCGUAUGGUGGUAUUGGAGGACAAAUUAACACAAAUAAUAAUUACAGUUUAAGGAAUUUGAGCAGUUCAUAUUUAUACACGAAUGGGCAAAAUCCAAAUGGUACAAUAAACAAUUUAGGCAAAAAUUUAAAUACAAAUAACAAUAAUAAUAAUAAUAAUAAUAAUAUGAAUAAUUCCUAUGCGUCGAAUAUCGAAAACGAACAAAGUAAUAAAGGGCUAUAUAAAGAAAUAUUUUACACUGCAUUUGAUAAUAUAAAAAAAAAUGAAAAAAAUACAGUCAUAAAAUCUAUACUAAUGAAUUUACAUAUCACUCCAUCUGUUUAUUCAUCAAGUGCUACUUUUCCGACCGAAGAAAAUAUUGAAAAAACAAGAUAUAUUAUUGUCAUUAUUAAUUUUUUAUUUACUUUAAUGAAAACUAAAUUUUACGAAGUUAUACAUGAAAAUACUUUUGAAUACAUUGACUAUUUUAUUGAACAACUAAAAAAAAGUGUAAGCAUAAAAAAUAUUAAAUUAGUUUGUGGGUACAUAUCUCUUUUAUUAAAUUAUUCAUUGAAUAAGAAAACUAAUAACUUAAACGAAACGGCUGAUUUAAAAUCUAGUAUAUUUAUAAAAAAUAUUCAUUAUAAUAAUCAACCGAAUAUUAUUAAAAUACAUAAAGCUUUAUAUGAAUCUGGAGCACUAACAUUUUUGAUAUCCUCUUUAUAUGAUUCAAAGGAUUCGCUAAUUAUUUAUAAUUGUGUUUAUUCUAUAUCUUUUUUAUUAUAUAAAAAAUCUAUCUUAGAUUUUGAUAAAAACAUAGAACUGUCUAACAUGAAAAUAGCAAUUUUAAAUAUAGUUAGACAUUAUUAUAAUUUAGAUACCUAUAUGGAAACAUAUGCAGAAAAUUUUAUUGAUUAUAAAGGUUUUUUAAAAACCGGCCAUAACAAAAAAAAUUUAGCACUAAACGAAGAGGAUAGUAAUUAUAACAACUUGUUACAUAAAUUUAGUAAAAGAAAUACAUAUGAAUAUGAAGAUUUAAAUCAAAAAUAUUUAUAUGAAGAAGAAAAUAAAUAUUUAUUAAAUGAUAAAAAUGAUAAAUAUAUAUCAAAUCAUGUAAAUUCAAAUUAUGCACAAAAUAUUAUUAAUAAAAAUAUUAAUUCCAAAGAACAUAUGAUAGAAAAUAAAAAUAUGUUUCCAAAUUUAAAAUACCAGUAUGCAAAUGUAAAUUAUGAAAAUUCCUUUUUUCUUAAUUUUGAUAAAAUAUUUUAUGAAACAGUCAAAAAUAAAAAAAGCUCUUAUAACUUUUAUUUCGAUACAAUUUAU